AUGCUAAUAUCUCCAGGACUCGCGGCGCCGGCGGCCUCUCACCCGUCCCCUUUCCUCGCCGCCGCCUGCCUCGGCGACCGCGCUGCUCUAGGAGGCCUCGUCCAGCCGGCCGCAACGACGUCGAAGACCCGCUGCUACAGCCGCCCGCUGCUCCGCUAUGCGACCGCCGACGCCGCUUCUAUUGCGGGCAGCGUAUCGACCAAUGACACUCGGUGCCGCCUGGACCGCGACGAGCUCCGCAGGGUCUGCCAAGAGCCCGACCUCGAGGGAGCAGUUAACCUGCUCGACGAAAUGCUUACCCGGAGAGGCGGCGCCGGCGCGUCGGGCCAACCCGCGCCGGAAGAGCAGGCCGCGGUCCUCCAGUGCUACGUUGACGCGCUCUCGCUGGCCUCCCUCAGACGAGGUCACCGCUUGCUCGCCAAGUCCACGUCCCGGUACUCCGGGAUCGCCAUGCCCAUCGUGCACAGGAUCGCCACGCUGUACUGCAAGCUCGGCGCCCCUGCCGACGCGCGGCGCGUCCUUGAGGGAGCGUCGAGGCCGGCACCAGGAAAGCCCGCGGACGCGGCGCAGGCCAAGCGGAAGGAGGCCUACGAGAAGGUGCGCGAGCUGCACGAGGAGAUACGCGCGGCGGGGUACGUGCCGGACACCCGCUUCGUGCUGCACGACAUCGACGAGGCCGCCAAAGAGCGCGCCCUCAUGUACCACAGCGAGCGCCUGGCCAUCGCGUUCGGGCUGGUGAGUACCCCGCCCGGCACGCCGCUGCGGGUCAUGAAGAACCUCCGCAUCUGCGGGGACUGCCACACCGCCGUCAAGCUCAUCGCCAAGGUGACCGGCCGCGAGAUCAUCGUCAGGGACAACAAGCGGUUCCACCAUUUCAAGGACGGCGCCUGCUCCUGCGGGGAUUACUGGUGA
rnacentral:rRNA from 1 species